rnacentral:lncRNA from 1 species
AAUGAGACCAGCACUGAUCAACUGCUAGCAGGCAUAUGCUACUCUAAUGCCCCACUGCUGCAAACUGUUGCAAGUUUAAGUUCUUCAUUUGACUGCUUGGCCUAGGUGAGAU